GGAAGACGGUUGACAAAGCGCACCCUGGGGUGCAUGGGGGGUUCCCAGCAAGGGCAAAGCGUUCCCUGUCAGAAAUCAGACCAGAACUGAGAGAGAUCCACUCGAUGCACGCUGGGGUUGAUCAUGAGGAUGAGACGGAACUCCUGACCGAGUCUCCUCCUUUUCCUGUCUCUCUGAAAUCUCACCCGAGUAAUACAGGACGUCAGAGUGGAGAGGCAUCCUCCCAUGGCAUAUUAGGUUGUCAGAGCAGCUGGGACUGCCGCCCUGAGGAGGUGCAGCAAAGAGACCAGAGAAUGACUUUGAGACACAGGAACAUAGAUGGUGAGGCAAUGUGAAAACGGAAACUGAGAUUUACACGGAAGAACACCGAAGAUCACUGGCAACCAAGGUUGCCAAGUCAUGUCUGACUUUUUUUGACCCCAUGGACUGCAGCAUACCAGGCUUCCUUGUUCCUCACCAUCUUCCAGAGUUUGCCCAAGUUCAAGUCCAUUGAAUCAGUAAUUAAUUAAUAAGUAUAAUUAAUUGAUUAUAUUGAGCUGUGCUUCCUAUAUAUCCUCCUGUUCUAUUUGAAAUGUAGUAGUCUAUUAAAGUAC
rnacentral:lncRNA from 1 species